rnacentral:pre_miRNA from 7 species
GACCGCCAGUGAAAAUCGAUUUUCACUGGCGGUUUUAUUACGCCGACCGCCAGUAAAAAUCGAUUUUCACUGGCGGUC